CCCUCCCCAGCCACCGGCAAGUGUCACUCUAGUCUCCGUCCCUGUGAAUUUGACCACUCUGGGCACCUCAGGAAAGGCUCCCGCCCUCCCUCUGGGGACAUACCUCCAGGAACAUCACUGGCUUGAACUCCUGUUCCAAACACCUGCUCUGAACCUCGGUCACCAGUUGGACCACUAGGACUGAGAGUUCCUGACGACAAAGAGAAAAUGACAAUGUUGGAGUCGAGAGGACUUCCCGUGUGCACUACUGAGACAAAGAACUCCCUUUUAUGGAAGACGAUGCUGCUUUCUAACGAUGUGAACGGACUUGCCCAAGGUCAUCUAGACUUCAACAAAGAGGCCAAGAAGGCUGUUACCCACCCACCCCCCACACACACCCAUUCUACCACACGGGGGGCCUCCCCAGUCUAGGUCUGCUCUUAGGGGGGUGCACAAACCACUCCCGUGUUGGGCGUUUUGUUCUAUUUGUGCAUCUCCCAGCCCACAGCCCAGGGACCAACUCUUCCCCUUUGUCAGCCCUCUUUAGCCCUGACCCUGGUGCCUGCCACAAUCCUAGACCCGUGGCAAGUGGCCAACAAAUUGUUGUUGUCUCAAAGGAAUUGAAGUAAUUAAGCCCGUGGGGUUAUUGCAUUAAAGUAACAACUUACUUGAUAUGUACAGAUAAUGUCAGAUCUGCUUUAGAUCCCCUGGAUUCUAAAGUAAAUGAGUUUCUGGAUCCUUCACUAGCUCAAAACCUUCAUUCAUUCAUUCAUUUGUCCAUUCAUUUGGCCUUUCUUGAGCUGCCCCUUGGGCUAGGCACUGUGUUAGGGACAGACACACAGUCCAGUCCAUAGAAGAAUCUUGCCAGUGUUAAGUGUAGAUAUUAUGAAGGCAUAUGCUUAUUGUAAAAGAGAAAAAAAAAAACCAUACCAAUUUAAACACGAGGAUGGAAAACGAAUUCAGAUGGAAACUGAGACAGCUGUAUACAAGGAAGUUCUCUCCCUCUCUCUCUCAGCCCCCCUAUCCCUUUCUGGUGGCUCAGAAACACACAGUUAUUUCCUAAAGCAACGGAGGAAGGCUGCAUAAUUCCUGCAUGGCGAGUUGGCAUUGUAGGGGCAUAGAUCUGGAAGGGGCCUUCGGGAUCCCUUUGCCCCGUCUAAGAAGGGUUUAUUGACUUUUUU